rnacentral:lncRNA from 1 species
AUGAUUGAGGAAAAUACACCGGAGGCCUUUGGAACAUUAGUAGAGGACUUCUUCCGUGUAAAAAUACCUACUGAAACUCAUUUUGCUGAGCACCUGCUGACAGAGAGGUGCUGUGUGUGGAAAGAGAAAUAAACAGACUUGAUGAAGUUUACCAGCAGCUCUCCUCUGGGCUCCACAGGGCAAUGCACAUACACAGCCCACCAGAGAAGAAAGAGUCCAGGUCUGACAAACAGCUUCAGGAGCAGCAGAUGAUGCUGGAGCUGCAGAAGUGUACAGUGGAUCAGAAACUGAAGGAGAUGAGAGACAGACUUUCUAAACUGAGCUCAAGCCAGCGAGCGAGUCCUAAUGAAGUCAGACCAGCUCACAGCACAGUCCUGGCUCAGGAAGACAGCCAGACACCCAGCAAAUGCAAACCAGACAGUGGAGAACCAGAGAAACCUGCUGCAGGACAGUCCAGCAACAGGAAAAAGCAAAGCAAGCAUAUGGACAAACAUGAGGAAAAGGGUGUGACUGCAUGAGGAAUAAUGUUUGAAAAUGAUGAUUAUUAUAAAAAUACAAAAAUGUCUCCUCACUUGUCACAUGUAGAUUUUGUAGCUGUUUGUGACAAAAACUCACACGGAGGAGAACCUCUGGUUUAAAAGCAGUGUUAUCCUAAACAACUUAGCAAAUGUACUCAUAACCUUAAAACUGUGAUUCGUUAUUUUAUUGGUUUAUUUUUUCAUUUCCAUGAAUGUAUGCAUGUAUUUACACCACUGUUCAAGAAUUUAGGGUUGGUAAGAUUCUUAAAUUAAAAGUUCAAGAGAACACUAAUUAUUUGAAGUAGAAGUCUAUUGUAUUAUAAAUGUCUUUACUUCACUUUUGAUCAGUUUGACAUCAUGCUGUAUAGUAUUAAUGCAUAGGUAUUAAUAUCUUUCAAAAAAUCUUACUGAGUGUGUUUAUGAAUUAGCUUUAUUUCUUAAUAUGAUUUUAUUAAGUCUAAAUCUAAAUGUAUAAAAAUAAAUCUAAGUUAUUAAAAAUAUUGUGUCAAUAUAUUUAUGCUAAAAAGUGACUCACAAGUCAGUAUACAAGAACCAGGGAAAUGUUACUAAUUAAACAUACUAUGCACUUCUGAGCAGUGAUAUUUGUAGCAUGUUUU